ACAGGCUUAACACAUGCAAGUCGAGGGGCAGCAUGGUCUUAGCUUGCUAAGGCCGAUGGCGACCGGCGCACGGGUGAGUAACACGUAUCCAACCUGCCGUCUACUCUUGGACAGCCUUCUGAAAGGAAGAUUAAUACAAGAUGGCAUCAUGAGUCCGCAUGUUCACAUGAUUAAAGGUAUUCCGGUAGACGAUGGGGAUGCGUUCCAUUAGAUAGUAGGCGGGGUAACGGCCCACCUAGUCUUCGAUGGAUAGGGGUUCUGAGAGGAAGGUCCCCCACAUUGGAACUGAGACACGGUCCAAACUCCUACGGGAGGCAGCAGUGAGGAAUAUUGGUCAAUGGGCGAGAGCCUGAACCAGCCAAGUAGCGUGAAGGAUGACUGCCCUAUGGGUUGUAAACUUCUUUUAUAAAGGAAUAAAGUCGGGUAUGCAUACCCGUUUGCAUGUACUUUAUGAAUAAGGAUCGGCUAACUCCGUGCCAGCAGCCGCGGUAAUACGGAGGAUCCGAGCGUUAUCCGGAUUUAUUGGGUUUAAAGGGAGCGUAGAUGGAUGUUUAAGUCAGUUGUGAAAGUUUGCGGCUCAACCGUAAAAUUGCAGUUGAUACUGGAUAUCUUGAGUGCAGUUGAGGCAGGCGGAAUUCGUGGUGUAGCGGUGAAAUGCUUAGAUAUCACGAAGAACUCCGAUUGCGAAGGCAGCCUGCUAAGCUGCAACUGACAUUGAGGCUCGAAAGUGUGGGUAUCAAACAGGAUUAGAUACCCUGGUAGUCCACACGGUAAACGAUGAAUACUCGCUGUUUGCGAUAUACAGCAAGCGGCCAAGCGAAAGCGUUAAGUAUUCCACCUGGGGAGUACGCCGGCAACGGUGAAACUCAAAGGAAUUGACGGGGGCCCGCACAAGCGGAGGAACAUGUGGUUUAAUUCGAUGAUACGCGAGGAACCUUACCCGGGCUUAAAUUGCAGAUGAAUUACGGUGAAAGCCGUAAGCCGCAAGGCAUCUGUGAAGGUGCUGCAUGGUUGUCGUCAGCUCGUGCCGUGAGGUGUCGGCUUAAGUGCCAUAACGAGCGCAACCCUUGUUGUCAGUUACUAACAGGUUCUGCUGAGGACUCUGACAAGACUGCCAUCGUAAGAUGUGAGGAAGGUGGGGAUGACGUCAAAUCAGCACGGCCCUUACGUCCGGGGCUACACACGUGUUACAAUGGGGGGUACAGAGGGCCGCUACCACGCGAGUGGAUGCCAAUCCCAAAAACCUCUCUCAGUUCGGACUGGAGUCUGCAACCCGACUCCACGAAGCUGGAUUCGCUAGUAAUCGCGCAUCAGCCACGGCGCGGUGAAUACGUUCCCGGGCCUUGUACAC
rnacentral:rRNA from 1 species